AGCGAACGCUGGCGGCAGGCUUAACACAUGCAAGUCGAGCGGGCACUUUCGGGUGUCAGCGGCGGACGGGUGAGUAACGCGUGGGAACGUGCCCUCUGGUUCGGAAUAACUCAGGGAAACUUGAGCUAAUACCGGAUACGCCCUUUUGGGGAAAGGCUUGCUGCCGGGGGAUCGGCCCGCGUCUGAUUAGCUAGUUGGUGAGGUAACGGCUCACCAAGGCGACGAUCAGUAGCUGGUCUGAGAGGAUGAUCAGCCACACUGGGACUGAGACACGGCCCAGACUCCUACGGGAGGCAGCAGUGGGGAAUAUUGGACAAUGGGCGCAAGCCUGAUCCAGCCAUGCCGCGUGAGUGAUGAAGGCCUUAGGGUUGUAAAGCUCUUUUAUCCGGGACGAUAAUGACGGUACCGGAGGAAUAAGCCCCGGCUAACUUCGUG
rnacentral:rRNA from 1 species